UACGUAGGGUGCAAGCGUUGUCCGGAAUUAUUGGGCGUAAAGAGCUUGUAGGCGGUUUGUCGCGUCUGCUGUGAAAUUUCGGGGCUCAACCCCGAACUUGCAGUGGGUACGGGCAGACUAGAGUGUGGUAGGGGAGACUGGAAUUCCUGGUGUAGCGGUGAAAUGCGCAGAUAUCAGGAGGAACACCGAGUGGCGAAGGCAGGGUCUCUGGGCCAUAACUGACGCUGAGAAGCGAAAGCAUGGGGGAGCGAACAGG
rnacentral:rRNA from 1 species